GUGGGGAAUAUUGGACAAUGGGCGAAAGCCUGAUCCAGCCAUGCCGCGUGUGUGAAGAAGGCCUUCGGGUUGUAAAGCACUUUAAGCGAGGAGGAAAGGUUGAAGGUUAAUACCCUUUAGCUGUGACGUUACUCGCAGAAUAAGCACCGGCAAACUUCGUGCCAGCAGCCGCGGUAAUACGAAGGGGGCUAGCGUGGCUCGGAUUUACUGGGCGUAAAGGGCGCGUAGGCGGACAUUUAAGUCAGGGGUGAAAUCCCGGGGCUCAACCUUGGAACUGCCUUCAAAAAUCCUGGUCUGGAGUUCGAGAGAGGUGAGUGGAAUUCCGAGUGUAGAGGUGAAAUUCGUAGAUAUUCGGAGGAACACCAGUGGCGAAGGCGGCUCACUGGCUCGAUACUGACGCUGAGGUGCGAAAGCGUGGGGAGCAAACAGGAUUAGAAACCCGGGUAGUCC
rnacentral:rRNA from 1 species